rnacentral:rRNA from 1 species
UACGAAGGGGGCGAGCGUUGUUCGGAUUUACUGGGCGUAAAGGGCGCGCAGGCGGCUAUUUUUGUCAGGCGUGAAAGCCCCGGGCUUAACCUGGGAACAGCGCUUGAGACGGGAUGGCUAGAGAUCGGGAGAGGUGAGUGGAAUUCCCAGUGUAGAGGUGAAAUGCGCAGAUAUCAGGAAGAACACCCGUGGCUAAGGCGGCUCUCUAGUACGGUACUGACGCUGAGACGCGAAAGCGUGGGGAGCGAACAGG